rnacentral:rRNA from 1 species
UGCUUUACACAUGCAAGUCGAACGGGCUUGGGGGCUUGCUCCCAAGUUAGUGGCGAACGGGUGAGUAAUAUAUCGGAACAUAUCCGGAAGUGGGGGAUAACGUAGCGAAAGUUACGCUAAUACCGCAUAUGCCCUGAGGGGGAAAGGGGGGGAUCGCAAGACCUCUCGCUUUCGGAGUGGCCGAUAUCGGAUUAGCUAGUAGGUGAGGUAAAGGCUCACCUAGGCGACGAUCCGUAGCUGGUCUGAGAGGACGACCAGCCACACUGGAACUGAGACACGGUCCAGACUCCUACGGGAGGCAGCAGUGGGGAAUCUUGGACAAUGGGCGAAAGCCUGAUCCAGCCAUACCGCGUGAGUGAAGAAGGCCUUCGGGUUGUAAAGCUC